rnacentral:sRNA from 1 species
UCUGCAGCCCGACUUGAACGGAAAUCCUUUUUUGCGUGGACUAAAGUUCUAUUUAAACUGAGAUCGUCUGCAAAAAAGAUUGGGAGUGGAAGGCGGAAAUAGCU